rnacentral:rRNA from 1 species
UGAGUAACGCGUGGGUAACCUGCCUCAUACAGGGGGAUAACAGUUAGAAAUGACUGCUAAUACCGCAUAAGCGCACAGUGCUGCAUGGCACAGUGUGAAAAACUCCGGUGGUAUGAGAUGGACCCGCGUCUGAUAAGCUAGUUGGUGGGGUAACGGCCUACCAAGGCGACGAUCAGUAGCCGGCCUGAGAGGGUGAACGGCCACAUUGGGACUGAGACACGGCCCAAACUCCUACGGGAGGCAGCAUG